rnacentral:rRNA from 1 species
GACGAGGGAUCCUAGCGUUGCUCGGAAUCAUUGGGCGUAAAGCGGGUGUAGGUGGCUUUAUAAGUCAGGUGUGAAAGCCCAGGGCUCAACCCUGGAAGUGCAUUUGAUACUGUAAAGCUUGAGUGUGGGAGAGGUUACUGGAAUACCUGGUGUAGUGGUGAAAUACGUAGAUAUCAGGUGGAACACCGGAGGCGAAGGCGGGUAACUGGCCCAACACUGACACUCAGACCCGAAAGCGUGGGGAUCAAACAGG